rnacentral:lncRNA from 1 species
GAGUGGAUGUUGGCCAUUCAAUUUCUGAACGUUGGGCAGACUUUACAAAUAACAUUGGGGAGCAUUCUGAUCUGUUUUACUGGCCUUGCCUCAUAAUAUCUGAUUUUUCAUCUGUAAAGUGACUAUAAUGAUAAUAAUAUUCACUGUAUAGUUGCAAUGAGUACUCAGGAAGAGUGGUUUGUUACCUGCUUUUAUGAACUUCUCCCAAUGAGACUCUGUAAUCCAGCACAUGGACACUGUGUCCGCUAACAGGAUUUACC